rnacentral:rRNA from 1 species
AAAAUAACAAUGAUAUCCCUAGUAACGGCGAGUGAAGAGGAUAGAGCUCAAAGUUGGAACCUGCUUGGUGUAGCUAAGCCGGAUUGUAAACUAGAGAAGUGUUUUCCUGGCUGGCCGAGUAAAAAAGUCCUUUGGAACAGGGCAUCAUAGAGGGUGAGAAUCCCGUCUUUGGCUCGAGCAUUAGUCUUUUGUGAUACAUUUUCAAUGAGUCAGGUUGUUUGGGAAUGCAGCCUAAAUUGGGAGGUAAAUCUCUCCUAAAGCUAAAUAUUUGCGAGAAACCGAUAGCGAACAAGUACCGUGAGGGAAAGAUGAAAAGAACUUUGAAAAGAGAGUUAAACAGUAUGUGAAAUUGUUAAAAGGGAACCGUUUGGAGCCAGUCUGGCUUUCCUAUAAUCAAUCUAGGCUUCGGCCUUGAUGCACUUGUAGGUUAUCGCCGGCCAACGACAAUUGGGAUCGCGAGGGAAAAAACCUUUGGAAAUGUAGCCAUUCUGCAAAGUUUGGUGUUAUAGUCCUUGGGAAAAUACCUUGUGCUCGAUUGAGGAUCGCAGUGAAUGCCUUUCGGGGCAGGAUGUGGUGAGGUAGGUUUGCUUGACCUAAGGUGACUUUCGGGUUGCUUUAGCGAUGGCUUACUCCUUGCUUCUAUCUUUAUUCGCUUAGGUUGUUGGCUUAAUGACUCUAAAUGAC